GAGGGUAUAGCUCAGUGGUAGAGUGCAUGCCUCGCAUGCACAAGGUCCUGGGUUCAAUCCCCAGUGCCUCCA
rnacentral:tRNA from 1 species